CUUAUAUAUAACAAGAAGCAGCUUCGAGCAAUCCACACUCCAAAUUCCAAAAUAAAGCAAAAUCACCUCUCUCCAACUUCACUCUCUUCCUCAGCAGAUUGAAUUUAAUAUUCCUUACAAAAAUCCAUAAUCUCUGCAACUUUUAAUUCAAAAAGACAAACUGAGGCACGCUUACACAUGUUUAUAGCGACAACCAAUCUAUACCCUGCAAGAAAUACUCACUGCACCGACUCCCAGCGCCACCCCUCUCUCUGUAUCCUGACCGUGAUAAACAGAGAGAAACGCAAAACAAACAAACACACGAAGAUACUCGAAAAGAAAUAUUGAAAUCAUUCAGAGGGUUUUGCGGGCUAUGAGGAUACACGGAGAAAUGCCACCUGAAAAAGAAGAGGAGGAGAAAGUGAAGUCGUUGUCUUUAUCUAUACAACAGCCACAGAAACUGGUGGUGGUUGGGUAUGCUUUAACAUCAAAGAAAAAGAAGAGUUUUUUGCAGCCAAAGCUUGAAGUCUUAGCCAGAAAUAAGGGAAUAUUGUUCGUUGCUAUUGAUCUAAACAGGCCAUUGCUGGAUCAAGGUCCCUUCGAUGUUGUUUUGCACAAGCUGUUGGGAAAGGAUUGGUGCGCAGCUAUUGAGGAUUACAGGAAAAAAAAUCCUGAAGUAGCUGUCCUCGAUCCUCCAGAUGCUAUAGAGCAGCUACUCAAUCGCCAGUCCAUGCUCAAUGAUGUGACUGAUCUCAACUUAUCUGACUGCUAUGGCAAGGUCUGUGUUCCAAGGCAGAUGGUAAUUAAUAACGAUCCAUCAUCCAUCCCUCAUGAAGUUACCAGCGCUGGAUUAAAGUUGCCACUGGUUGCAAAACCACUAGUUGUGGAUGGAACUGCCAAGUCACAUGAAAUGUUUCUUGCUUAUGAUCAAUUCUCCCUUUCAGAACUUGAACCUCCCUUAGUGUUGCAAGAGUUUGUUAAUCAUGGUGGUGUUCUCUUCAAGAUUUAUAUUGUUGGUGAAGCCAUAAAGGUUGUACGGCGAUUCUCUCUACCUAACGUUACUAAGCAAGAGCUAUCAAAAGUUGAAGGUGUUUUUCGAUUUCCGAGGGUUUCAUCUGCUGCAGCUUCUGCAGAUGAUGCAGACCUUGACCCUUCUGUUGCUGAACUUCCUCCCCUUCCUUUACUGGAGAAGCUUGCAAGGGAGCUUCGUCGCCGACUGGGACUCCGAUUGUUUAAUGUAGAUAUGAUCCGAGAGCAUGGGACAAAAGAUGUUUUUUACGUGAUAGACAUCAAUUACUUUCCUGGGUAUGGGAAAAUGCCAGAUUAUGAGCACAUUUUUACAGAUUUCCUACUGACCCUGAUGGAGAGCAAGUAUAAGAACAGACCUGCACAAUAACCGCAGAGAAACAUGUAUCCAACUGUAAAUGAUGUUUCUUGCAGGUCUAGAUCUCUUUUGGGAAACUGAAGAACAGUCAAUUUAGUUUUUCUGUAAUACUGAAUGGCAAAAUAAGCACAAUAUCAGAUGUCCAUUUGUGCGCAAGAACUUCAAUUUGAGACAAAUCACCACUUCUCAACUUGUAUGAGCCAUUGUCUCUCUAGUCUUGUGAGCACUCAACCUGCUCAUUCCCUCUGCUGAAACUCGUAAGGAAGCAAAUUCAAGUAGCCCAUGAACAAGUAGCCCCAAUCUCAUUUCCCUCCCCCUGUAUUCGCAUGAUAUAAUUGGAGAUGAAUGUCUUUGGUUAUAAAAUUUUCUUAUAAACU